rnacentral:rRNA from 1 species
GACGAACGCUGGCGGCGUGCUUAACACAUGCAAGUCGAACGGAAAGGCCCUGCUUGCAGGGUACUCGAGUGGCGAACGGGUGAGUAACACAUGGGUGAGCUGCCCGGCACUUAGGGAUAAGCAUGGGAAACUGGGUAUAAUAACGGAUAGAUGAAAACUUUAAAGAGAAGGUUGGAAAGUGAAUGUCGGUGUAGCAUGAGUUCGAGGCCUAUCAGCUUGGUGGUGGGGUAAUGGCGUACCAAGGCGGCGACGGGUAGACGACCUUGGAGGGUGGACGGCCCCAUUGCGACUGAGAUACGGCCCAGACGCCUACGUGAGGCAGUAGUCGGGAAUCUUGCAGAAUGGGCGCAAGCCUGAUGCAGCGACUCCGCGUGCGGGAUGAUCGCCUUCGGGUUGUAAACGUCGUUCGCUAGGGACGACGCUUUUUGUGACGGUACCUAGAUAAGAAGCACCGGCUAACUACGUG